UCCGCCCCCCUCCCGGGUCACCCCCCUCGCCCCCCGCUGCCGCCCGAAGCUGCCGGCCUGACCGCCCCUCUCCCCGGUUCCCUUUUCUGCUGACGCGGGCACUCGCCAGACUCCAGGAUGGAUUUCCGAAUCCCAGGCUGUACCCGGAGUCCCCUCCCAACAACUGACAACACUAGCAACCUCCCAGCUUCAGGAAGUAGAAGGGGCAGGAGUCACCGAUGGGGGCUCUGAUGGUUACCGAGGCAACGACGAUAGCACUAAGCUAUUUCCCUCUCUGCAAGGAGACCAUUAUUCCGCAUGCAUAGGCCAUCUGCAGCAGAGGUCGUCGCAAAGUCAUUCACAACACAGCACACGUUUAUUAAACUUUUAUUCUCUUUUUUCCCCCAACACGG
rnacentral:lncRNA from 12 species